rnacentral:rRNA from 1 species
AUACGUAGGGGGCGAGCGUUGUCCGGAAUGAUUGGGCGUAAAGGGCGCGUAGGCGGCGCGGUAAGUCUGGAGUGAAAGUCCUGCUUUCAAGGUGGGAAUUGCUUUGGAUACUGUCGCGCUUGAGUGCAGGAGAGGUUAUCGGAAUUCCUGGUGUAGCGGUGAAAUGCGUAGAGAUCGGGAGGAACACCAGUGGCGAAGGCGGGUAACUGGACUGCAACUGACGCUGAGGCGCGAAAGUGUGGGGAGCAAACAGGAUUAGAUACCCUGGUAGUCCACACUGUAAACGAUGAAUGCUAGGUGUAAGAGGUAUCGACCCCUUUUGUGCCGGAGUCAACACAAUAAGCAUUCCGCCUGGGGAGUACGGCCGCAAGGUUGAAACUCAAAUGAAUUGACGGGG